GCUGAAUCUUGAGCCCCACCCCUAUAUUACCUCCUGUUUCUUCCUUCCCAACUGUCUUGUUGGAGAUUUUCUCACCCAUGGUACCAAUCCUACAAACUAGUACUAGUACUAGCUAAAGGAUCUUUUAUUCUUUGGGGAGAAGGGGCUAAGGCUGGGAAAAGGGGAAAAUCAGGGUCUCCCUAAUUCUAAGUUAUCUUGUUGAUUGAAGACUUUUGAAAUAGUCUCUUCAGAAAAACAAAAACAAGAAAUCUCCACAUAAGGGUAGAUAAUAACAGCACUGGUAACAAGUCUCUUCUGGACAAGACCAACUAUCUCUUUGGCUCACAGUAUAACUAGAAGGGAUAUGCAUAGAUUCUGAGUACACACAGCCAACAACACAUCAUACUUCUGAAGCGGUAUUCCUUCUGGACUCCUCUGCCUCUAAUGAUGCUACAUAGUCUUCAGCAUGUAUAAAAUUUAUGUGAUGUUUGGAUAAUGAAGUAAGGAUCACCACCAGUGGGGGCGGAGUCAAGAUGGCGGCUUAGCAAGCAGCAAAAGUUCAGACCUUGUGGAAGACCCUUCCUAAACCGAUACAGAUUGAAUGCUCCUAGGGCACCGAAAUUCAAGCUGAACAACAGGACAGAAGCGGGGAAUCCUCCUUCUGGACUCAAAUCAAAAGCCUUUCCCAUUCUUAGUUUCUUCCCUUCCUGGACUGUAACUCCAGAUUUUAAUCUGACAUCCUCCUUCCUGAAGAUUUCUAUUUAUGGAUGAUAACUGAGAGUGAGGAUACAAGAAAAAAGGGAAAAAAAAAACCACAGCCACAAGUCCUGAUUCCCAUAGGUUUCCUUCUAUUUUAAUCAGUCUUACAGCUCUCAAUAAUUCAAGCUCUUCAUGAUUUAUAACUGUACCAUAUCCUUUUAGUUCCUUACAUUUUUUAUUUAGAAGGCAUGCUCAAAUUGCUCUAUCAUCUUCUGCUGAAUUGCAUCAUCUCUCCUUCUAGAAGCUCAGUUAUUUCAUUGUCUUCUUAGAAAAAAAAAAACAACGUGAAAAGUUGAGUGCCCUCAGAAGUUAGGCCUGGGAAGAGCAAGGAAAAAGAGAGAAGAUAAUAGAGUAG
rnacentral:lncRNA from 1 species